GUGCUUUCACUUCAGUAGCACAUAUAUUAAAAUUGGAACCAUAUAGAGAUUAGUAUGGCUCCUGUAAAGCAUGGCUCUUGUAGAGUAUUCCAUACUU
rnacentral:snRNA from 1 species